rnacentral:rRNA from 1 species
GGCUCGAGUUUUUCAGCAGAUUUUAAGCUUCCUACGGGAGGCUGCAGUAGGGAAUAUUGGGCAAUGGAGGCAACUCUGACCCAGCCAUGCCGCGUGCAGGAAGACGGUCCUCUGGAUUGUAAACUGCUUUUGAAUGGGAAGAAUGUGCUCCUUGCGAGGUGUAAUGACGGUACCAUUAGAAUAAGCCACGGCUAACUACGUGCCAGCAGCCGCGGUAAUACGUAGGUGGCGAGCGUUAUCCGGAUUUAUUGGGUUUAAAGGGUGCGUAGGCGGCUUAAUAAGUCGGUGGUUAAAAGUAGCAGCUUAACUGUUUUACAUGCCAUCGAUACUGUUGAGCUUGAGAUAUUUGGAGGCAGCUAGAAUUUCCGGUGUAGCGGUGAAAUGCAUAGAUACCGGAAGGAAUACCAAUUGCGAAGGCAGGUUGCUACGAAUAAACUGACGCUGAUGCACGAAAGCGUGGGGAUCAAACAGGAUUAGAUACCCUUGUAGUCGUC